AACGGAUGGACUGACUGGCUGAAGGACGAACGGAUGGACUGACUGGCUGACUGGCAGGCUGGCGGAUGGACAGACUGACUGACGGACGGUGUCCUCCCCUCGCCCAGACCCAGGCCAGCUGGCUGGCUGCGUCUCAGGGUGCCCCUGGCAGAGGAGAAGGUCCCCGAGCAGCCCAAGGCAGAGAGUGGCUCCUCGCCUCCAACACCUCAUUUUGUGUUUAUUUGUGGGCCGGCUUUUCCACAUCUUGUGUCACUAAAACCUGAACAGAAACCAGCAUGUUUCUCGACAUCUAAGGAUGUGUAGUAUUCUCUCUACUGGAAGAAAUGACAAUGAACUUGCAGCAGAAGAUGCAAAAGCCUCCUUUUACUUUUGAAACAAGAUUUGGUUGCAAUCCAAAGAAAUGCGUAUGGAAGAAAUGGAAUCUCAAAGGCUUUAAAUCAUACUAGUAAAGAUGCUACUGCUAACAUACAAGCCAGUGCAUCUGCCAGUUCUGCAGCAGCCAGUGGACUUUUUUCUGUUUUGAAAUACAUGACCUUUCAGUUACACAAAUAUCAACAUCUGAAGGCAUCAAAAUGGCCAAGGACAAGUCUGAUCAGCCUCUUUUUAUAGUCUAUAGCACCUCCCAGUGUCUACUAACACGUUUAAAAGAAAGUAAGCCAGCUUACCAAAAAUGGAAGUAAGCUCCUCACUUAAGGCAUCCUGAAGAGCUUAAGGUCCACUUUGUGCUUCACUUCUAAUGCUGGCUUGUGGUAUUAGGGAGCCACAUCGUUCUGAUGGGGAACCAGCAGCCAUGCAGCUGUAUUCAAAGCCAGAUGCUUCCAUCUCCUGAAGCAGCCACAGGACUGACACCAAGAAAAUCACGAUGGUACUGGAAGGACACUGUGCUUUAGGAGGCACAAAGACGUACCAGCGGUGAUAGCCUUUGUCAUGCUAUUUUUAGAAUAAAGUUUAAAAUUUUACAUACAUGAGAGAUAUCACAGACAAUAGAUUUAAUUCAGAAGUCUCAAAUCUGCAUAGUCUUUUAAUUACUCUUUAGUUGCUUCAUCUUUUUUUUAACAUAAAUUUCUCUCUGUUGGUAGUUUGAAAUAAACAUGCAGUACUUAUUAAAAAAAAAAUCACUGAAUGUAUAUGGGGGUAUAUGAAUAGCUACAUUCUGAUGCAGAUUUAUAUGUCAAUAAACUAUGCUACAACGACAAUAAUCAGAAAAAACAGCAGUGUUUCCAUAAAGAAAUGCCCACCUUCAAAAGAUUUCUACUACUUUUCCUGAAACAGCUUCAACCAGAAAUACCAAUGGUAGAGACCAGGAAACACAAAGAGCCUCCUUUAAUGUCUUCUACCAUCACUUCAAAUUAUUUUAAGUUUCCCUUUCUACAAAUACAAGGGAAUUCAUACCUAAAAUACUAUUGCUGCCCAUGCCCCUUCAUGAAGAACACUACACAGGCUUGUUUAAAAACAGAAAAGGCUUGAGUAACCAGAAACUGAUCCACAGUUUCUGGAUUGUCUUGAACAUGAAUCAGGCUUGCAAGCUUAUCACGCGAUGUUUAAAUAGAAAACGUACUUCGGCUUCAAAAAAUGAAAAUGGACUUUGCCAAGUUCUGCAAUAGUUCUGUCCCAAAAGGAUAGCAUGUUCAACUUAAUAUAAACAGAUCAUCCCACUGGACCCUCCAAGUACUUGUAUUUCACUGUUUUUUAAGUCUGUAACGUUUAUGCGUGUAUUUUCUGCCAGUGCUAAAGUCUGCAAACCUGCUUUGCAAAUUAACCUUAAAGUAUGAGAGCUUGUUCCUUAGGAAACAAACCUCAGUAGCAGACUGCAAAAUAAAUAAAGUCAAUUGGUCAUGCUAGCCUUAAUAUGAGAAAGGAUAUAUUGUAAAGAAACCUAACCUAUAUCUCUACAGUCAAUGCAAUUUAAACAUCUGUGUUACUGAGCAAAACAAAACUGCAAAUAUUCAUGUCACUGCAAACUUAAGUAAUUUAUUGGGGUCUAAACACAGGGGCAGGAGUCUGUUUGGGAACGGUGGAUUGUGAGGUAUUUGUGGCACUGAUUGCUCCAAAUAUUGUAUUUUGAAGACCCCAGUGGCAGGUUUGAGGCAGGCUUUGUUGGCUGCCUGCAGUCCUCAUCUAUCGGAUUGUCCUGUGGGGUGACCUGCAUGGCCUAUCCUUUAAAAAGCACAUUUACCCAUCAUUUGGGCAGGCUGUGGUGACCUGUUCCUGACCCAGCCAUCCCUGUUCAUCCCAUCUGCCCUUCCAGAAAUAUCUCUGGAUUGACAUCAGCUGAGAUGUUUUUUCCUCAAAGGGCCACAAAUCACCUGCAAACAGCAGGUGAGAUUUAUAACAAGCCUCAAAUGUGGGUUCAGGCUGGCUCCCAGGACAACAUUGACAAUUAGUACUUGGUUUCAUGACUAGUUGGUUCUUUGAGUCAGUUUGGAGACAGAUGAGCUCACAAAGGAGAAGAUAAAGCUCAAAUGAGCAGACAGGAAAAUGUCUGUCUGUUCAGUGUUCCUGUCUUUACCGUAAGUGUGCUGUUUCCUGCAGAGCUGCACUUUUAACUUGGGAAAUUUUGAAAAUCCUUCUCAAAUUCCACACACUGAAAACUGGGAUGAAUAAUUGUUCUUACUGGAUUGUUUUUCUAUAUGCUGUUUACUCACUUUUUACACAUUCUUUUGCCCGCUGCAUGGGUUGCCUUCACUCAGUUGUUGUGCACAAGUUGUAGUUUUCCAAUGCUAACGGAAAUUAAUGAUUUUUAAAAUGUGUUCAUAGAAAGAAAAGGACUAAAAUGUGAUCUUUGUGUCCUGACAGACAAGCCUCCCAACCUUCUUAAAAACACAUUUUAAUUAGAUUAUUCCAUUGGAAAGCAUUCUUUUUAACUUCAAAAAUACAGAAAUGCCAUUUUGAUAAUGAGUUUGAUCAUGAUUUUACUAAGCAGUUAUUUGCUAUUGUAAUCUAUGUCAUAGAAUAUCUGCAGACCACUCUUCUCAUUUUUAAAACAAACCCACUCAUAUAUGCUUCUCAAAUUUUAACAUUAAAAAACCUGUAUGUCAAGAACAGCUGUAGAAUGCAGGGAAGUAUUUUGAGGGUGAACAGAAAUGCUUGUUGUAUUUCUACGUUGGUUUCAUAAAUUAAAUGGAUUUGGCUUACCUGAAUACCCUUCAGUCCACACAGGAAGUAGUUAUGCCACUGAGGUUUGGUUUUGUUAAUCUGAACGUUAUUAACAUUAGUACUGAAAUCCCUGUGAAAACAGAAAAACCUUGAGGCUUUAACUUGUCAGUAAAUUUAGUUUGAAAUAACAUGGCUUAUUACCGCCACCUGCUGAUGAAUAAAACCCUUUCAAUGUCAAUUUUUUUCAGUGAAUGUUUGUUUUAAUAGAUCUUUAUUAAUCAAUUAUAUAAGGAUACUUUAGAAUGGAGCAUAAGAAUUUUUGCUUAAGUUGUAGAAUUUGUUAAAUAAAUUUAGAAAUUAAACUGCUUUUGGCAUCCCUAAUCAAGGCAGCAUGCCUUCCAUCUCAUGUGCAUGUUUUCUUGAUCUCUUUAGAGAAGUGAAAAUCUGAAUAAUUGUAUCUGUCCAACCUAGAAUAUUAUGUAUGCUACAAGCCAUAAUUAAAAUAAUUUAGUUUAAAGUAGUUGAUCUGUUUCCUCCAGGAUAAUUCUGGUAAUGGUUUUCCUAAUCCAUCCUCAUUUCAAAAUAAUAAAAAUAGAUGUUUCAAAAGAUUCUCAGGAAAGCUUGCCCCUUCUCCAAGGUUAUGGCAUGAGAUGGAAACCGAUUGAUAAUUAUCCUCCUCUGGUAUUUCUGAAGGCAUUUGAGAGGUAUCAUGUCACAUCUUCUCUGUACAUGUACUUCUCAAUUACAAAGACCUUAUGUGAAGGGGAGGUGUUGGGAACUUCAAAAGACCGUAACUUUUGAAUCUGGUUUUCACCCAAAUAACAUAAAAGGUAUCUGAUCAGCUGGCAUGAUUUAUGAUGAGAAACACAUAUGUGGUUUUCCUUGCAGUCUGUUCUCUGUCCUGCUGUUUCUAAAAGUUAAUGUGAACUAUCACAGUGGAAGAGGGCUAGAGAACAGAUUUUACCAGUUCACGAAACAAGAAUGAAAUAGGAAAUAAUGAUUCUAUGGAAGCUUAUGGAGAAACUGAACUGCUGCCAGUUGCGGGGAUUACAUCAAGAAAGAUGAGCUGAAAGAAGGGAAGACAGGAUUGCGCUUUUAGAAAGAUUGAAAAAUCAGAGGCCAAUCUGAACAAACAGGU